GAAAGGCCUUCGGUUCGUAAAAGCUCUGUUUUUAGGGAAGAACAAAGUACCGGAGUAACUGCCCGGUACCUUGACGGUACCUAACCAGAAAAGCCACGGCUAAAUACGUGCCAGCAGCCGCGGUAAUACGUAGGUGGCAAGCGUUGUCCGGAAUUAUUUGGGCGUAAAGCGCGCGCAGGCGGUCCUUUAAGUCUGAUGUGAAAGCCCACGGCUCAACCGUGGAGGGUCAUUGGAAACUGGGGGACUUGAGUGCAGAAGAGGAAAGCGGAAUUCCACGUGUAGCGGUGAAAUGCGUAGAGAUGUGGAGGAACACCAGUGGCGAAGGCGGCUUUCUGGUCUGUAACUGACGCUGAGGCGCGAAAGCGUGGNGNGAGCAAACNNAGGAUUAGAUACCCUNGGUANGUCCACGCCGUAAACGAUGAGUGCUAAGUNGUUAGAGGGUUUCCGCCCUUUAGUGCUGCAGCUAACGCAUUAAGCACUCCGCCUGGGGAGUACGGCCGCAAGGCUGAAACUCAAAGGAAUUGACGGGGGCCCGCACAAGCGGUGGAGCAUGUGGUUUAAUUCUAAGCAACGCGAAGAACCUUACCAGGUCUUGACAUCCUCUGNCACUCCUAGAGAUAGGACGUUCCCCUUCGGGGGACAGAGUGACAGGUGGUNGCAUGGUUGUCGUCNAGCUCNGUGUNCGNUGAGAUGUUGGGUAAUGUCCCCCAACGAGCGCAACCCUUGAUCUUAGUUGCCAUCAUUCAGUUGGGCCCUCUAAGGUGACUGCCGGUGACAAACCGGAUGAAGGUGGGGAUGACGUCAAAUCAUCAUGCCCCUUAUGACCUGGACUACACACGUGCUAAAUGGAAA
rnacentral:rRNA from 1 species